CGCACAAGAAUCGUCGGCACAAACACAGGAAAAACAUGACCCUCCUGUUACCGUCAAUGCCGGUUAUACUGCGAGAACACGAUUGAAUCCGAGCUUCGAGCCAGUCCUGCAUAUAACAUGAGAACACAAACGGCGGGAAUGCUGAGCGCAGAUCGAUUGCGGGCUUUUGUCUGGCCGCUUCGCUGGAAAGGAGGAGUAGAGGGACGGACGACCAAUCGAUCGUGCGGAUGACGACACGCAAGACGACAAUAAGCUCCGUUCGUCUGGCCGAAAACAAGCGACGCUCAAGGCAAACAUGAAAGGAAAGAAAUCAGAACAACCCCAGAUGUUCGAUGUCACUUGCUUGGCUGCUUGACGAAUUGCCGAUG